rnacentral:tRNA from 3 species
GGGGGGAUGCCCGAGCGGCCAAAGGGGCCAGACUGUAAAUCUGGUGGCGACGCCUUCGCAGGUUCGAAUCCUGCUCCCCCCACCA